rnacentral:rRNA from 1 species
CCGCGGUAACACCGGCGGCCCGAGUGGUGAUCGUGAUUAUUGGGUCUAAAGGGUCCGUAGCCGGUUUGGUCAGUCCUCCGGGAAAUCUGAUAGCUCAACUAUUAGGCUUUCGGGGGAUACUGCCAGACUUGGAACCGGGAGAGGUAAGAGGUACUACAGGGGUAGGAGUGAAAUCUUGUAAUCCCUGUGGGACCACCUGUGGCGAAGGCGUCUUACCAGAACGGGUUCGACGGUGAGGACGAAAGCUGGGGGCACGAACCGGAUUAGAUACCCGGGUAGUCCCAGCCGUAAACGAUGCUCGCUAGGUGUCAGGCAUGGCGCGACCGUGUCUGGUGCCGCAGGGAAGCCGUGAAGCGAGCCACCUGGGAAGUACGGCCGCAAGGCUGAAACUUAAAGGAAUUGGCGGGGGAGCACAACAACGGGUGGAGCCCUGCGGUUUAAUUGGACUCAACGCCGGACAACUCACCGGGGGCGACAGCAAUAUGUAGGCCAAGCUGAAGACUUUGCCUGAAUCGCUGAGAGGUGGUGCAUGG